rnacentral:rRNA from 1 species
UAGCCGGCCUGAGAGGGCGACCGGCCACACUGGGACUGAGACACGGCCCAGACUCCUACGGGAGGCAGCAGUGGGGAAUAUUGGGCAAUGGAGGAAACUCUGACCCAGCGACGCCGCGUGCGGGAUGAAGGCCUUCGGGUUGUAAACCGCUUUCAGCAGGGAAGAAGCGAAAGUGACGGUACCUGCAGAAGAAGCACCGGCUAACUAUGUGCCAGCAGCCGCGGUAAUACAUAGGGUGCAAGCGUUGUCCGGAAUUAUUGGGCGUAAAGAGCUCGUAGGUGGUUCGUUACGUCGGAUGUGAAAAUCUGGGGCUCAACCCCUGACCUGCAUUCGAUACGGGCGAGCUAGAGUGUGGUAGGGGAGACUGGAAUUCCU